AGUGAACGCUGGCGGCGUGCUAACACAUGCAAGUCGAACGAGAACGGGCUAUAGCUUGCUAUAGUUGUCAGCUAAGUGGCGCACGGGUGAGUAAUGUAUAGGUAAUAUGCCUCUUACUAAGGGAUAACAAAUGGAAACGUUUGCUAAUACCUUAUACUCCUUUUAAACAGAAGUUUAAAAGGGAAAGAUUUAUUGGUAAGAGAUUAGCCUGUAUUGUAUCAGUUAGUUGGUGGGGUAAUGGCUUACCAAGACUAUGACACAUAACUGGUUUGAGAGGAUGAUCAGUCACACUGGAACUGAGACACGGUCCAGACUCCUACGGGAGGCAGCAGUGGGGAAUAUUGCACAAUGGACGAAAGUCUGAUGCAGCAACGCCGCGUGGAGGAUGACACAUUUCGGUGCGUAAACUCCUUUUAUAUGAGAAGAUAAUGACGGUAUUAUAUGAAUAAGCACCGGCUAACUCCGUGCCAGCAGCCGCAGUAA
rnacentral:rRNA from 1 species